GUGUUUCGAGUUACUCCGGAACACCCGGGAUUUUUCGUAUUUAGCCACGCCGGUCACGUGAUAUGAGCAAAAUGUUCCACAGGGGUACUUCCGGUUAAUUUUGUUUACACUGGUAACAAAAUUGUUUUUGACAAAAUAUAGAUUUUGCGGCACAAACUGUCGCAAAUCAGAUAAAGGAUAGCAAGGGAUAUAUAUUUACUUGGGAAGAUGUCAAAGUUUACCUUUUCCCAAACCCGAGAAAAGCGUUCACGCAGAGGAAACGAUGGCGUCAUUUGUGUAGAAAACCACGAGCAGCCGAAAUUGAGUGCGAUUAUUACAUUCCGUGAAAGCUGAACCAACAAAGAAACAUCAUUGUUCUAGCCAGUUUGCUUAUAUUAACUUUUAGGAAAACCAAGAGGUUGAUAACAAUGGCUGAUCUGCAUAUAAUGACUGCUAGUUAUUGGCUGGUAUGCAGUGAAAGGGAGCUAAAAAGGAGUAAAAAGUUCAUAUCAGCCAGGUGAGAAUUAAUUUCUUCUUUUUUGUGUGUUAUACAUAUGUAAUUCUUUUCUUUUGCUGCUUCAAAUCUUGUGUAUUUGAAAAUUUUCAGUCUAAUAUUUGGCAAUGUUAUAGGUAGUGUGGUUUAAAUAAACCAGUGUUAAGGAAUAUCCAGUAAUGGCAUGACAUCAUGAGAGUUUGGCAUACCGACAUUCAGAUGAUUAAUGAUGAAACUGAAGACCUCAAGUGAAAGGCAUGGAAAAUUAUCCUGUUCCCAUUAACCUGGAAAAGAGGAGGGAUGCCACAAUAUUGAUAAUAGACUUUUGUCAAUUUGAGAAGCAAAGAUGUAUAAAAAAAAAAAAAAAAAAAAAAAAAAAAUAAAUAAAUAAAUAAAUAAUGCUGAAAUUAUAAUUCAUGUAUUUGUUAAAAAUACUGUUCACUGUACAUACAUGUAUAUUUUUUUUAACUUAUUUGGAAAUACAUGAAGUAAUUCAUAUUAAAACUGAAUGUAUGAGUUUUCAUGAUUUUUAUCAAUAAAGCUUACCAUAUUUAUUGUACAAA